GGCCGCAUGGCCUAAUGGUUAAGGUGCCAGAUUUCGGUUAAGUCUAUCUCUGGAGAUUCCAAGUUCGAAUCCUGGUGUGGUCG
rnacentral:tRNA from 1 species